rnacentral:lncRNA from 1 species
GAAAUAAAAGAGAGAUGGGAGACGGGAAGGUGAAGGAUGUAAGGAGUCAGGGACAUAAGAACCAGAAAUAAAAGAGAGAUGGGAAGGUGAAGGAUGUAAGGAGUCAGGGACAUAAGAACCAGAAAUAAAAGAGAGAUGGGAGACGGGAAGGUGAAGGACAUAAGGAGUCAGGGACAUAAGAACCAGAAAUAAAAGAGAGAUGGGAGACAGGAAGGUGAAGGACAUAAGGAGUCAGGGACAUAAGAACCAGAAAUAAAAGAGAGAUGGGAAGGUGAAGGAUGUAAGGAGUCAGGGACAUAAGAACCAGAAAUAAAAGAGAGAUGGGAGACGGGAAGGUGAAGGAUGUAAGGAGUCAGGGACAUAAGAACCAGAAAUAGAAGAGAGAUGGGAGACGGGAAGGUGAAGGAUGUAAGGAGUCAGGGACAUAAGAACCAGAAAUAAAAGAGAGAUGGGAGACGGGAAGGUGAAGGACAUAAGGAGUCAGGGACAUAAGAACCAGAAAUAAAAGAGAGAUGGGAGACGGGAAGGUGAAGGACGUAAGGAGU